GGAAGGUGAUAAGGUUAAUACCCUUAUCAAUUGACGUUACCCGCAGAAGAAGCACCGGCUAACUCCGUGCCAGCAGCCGCGGUAAUACGGAGGGUGCAAGCGUUAAUCGGAAUUACUGGGCGUAAAGCGCACGCAGGCGGUCAAUUAAGUCAGAUGUGAAAGCCCCGAGCUUAACUUGGGAAUUGCAUCUGAAACUGGUUGGCUAGAGUCUUGUAGAGGGGGGUAGAAUUCCAUGUGUAGCGGUGAAAUGCGUAGAGAUGUGGAGGAAUACCGGUGGCGAAGGCGGCCCCCUGGACAAAGACUGACGCUCAGUCGAGAG
rnacentral:rRNA from 1 species